rnacentral:rRNA from 1 species
AUAGCGACUAUCGUGGCAUAUCAAUAAGCGGAGGAAAAGAAACUAACAAGGAUUCCCUUAGUAACGGCGAGUGAAGCGGGAAGAGCUCAAAUUUGAAAUCUUCAAGGUUCUACCUUGACGAAUUGUAGUUUAUAGAAGUGUUUUCUGUUAGUGGAGUGGCAAAAGUUCUUUGGAAUAGGACAUCAUAGAGGGUGAGAAUCCCGUAUUUGGUCAUUCCUCCUAGCGUUGUGAUACACUUUCAACGAGUCGGAUUGUUUGGGAAUGCAGUCCAAAAUGGGUGGUAAAUUUCAUCUAAAGCUAAAUAUUGGCGAGAGACCGAUAGCGAACAAGUACCGUGAGGGAAAGAUGAAAAGAACUUUGAAAAGAGAGUUAAACAGUACGUGAAAUUGUCAAAAGGGAAGCGUUUGACACCAGUGUUGUUUUUCCGAAAAUCAAUUACGAAUGUUUUGUUUUUGAGGAGUUAUGACUUCAUCGGCUUGCUUCUUUCUUUAUGAAACUUUCUUAAUGCACUUUUCGGUUAACAAGUCAACAUCAAUUUCUUUUGUUGUAAAAGGGUAUGAGGAAGGUGGCCUUCUUUUCGGAGAAAGUGUUUAUAGCCUUGUGCCUCUGCAAUCGGAGAGAUUGAGGUCUGCAGCGUAGAUCCUUCGGGGUUAGAUACGUUUGUGCUAAGUUAUAGCUUUUCAUAGACAACUUGUUGACUAUGUUUAGUCUUGUAGCUUACUCGCUGACGCUAUUUUACCUACGCUUAGGAUGUUGAAGAUAUGCGCGACACG